rnacentral:rRNA from 1 species
AUUGAACGCUGGCGGCAGGCCUAACACAUGCAAGUCGAGCGGAGCGGCGGACGGGUGAGUAAUGCCUAGGAAUCGGCCUGGUAGUGGGGGAUAACGUCCGGAAACGGGCGCUAACACCGCAUACUAUCAGAUGAGCCUAGGUCGGUGUAGCUAGUUGGUGGGGUAAAGGCCUACCAAGGCGACGAUCCGUAACUGGUCUGAGAGGAUGAUCAGUCACACUGGAACUGAGACACGGUCCAGACUCCUACGGGAGGCAGCAGUGGGGAAUAUUGGACAAUGGGCGAAAGCCUGAUCCAGCCAUGCCGCGUGUGUGAAGAAGGUCUUCGGGUUGUAAAGCACUUUAAGUUGGGAGGCGUUACCAGCAGAAUAAGCACCGGCUAACUUCGUGCCAGCAGCCGCGGUAAUAC